GAUGAACGCUGGCGGCAUGCCUUACACAUGCAAGUCGAACGGUAACAGGGAGCUUGCUCCGCUGACGAGUGGCGAACGGGUGAGUAAUGUAUCGGAACGUACCAUUCAGUGGGGGAUAACGUAGCGAAAGUUACGCUAAUACCGCAUAUUCUGUGAGCAGGAAAGCGGGGGAUCGCAAGACCUCGCGCGAUGGGAGCGGCCGAUAUCGGAUUAGCUUGUUGGUGAGGUAAAGGCUCACCAAGGCGACGAUCCGUAGCUGGUCUGAGAGGACGACCAGCCACACUGGAACUGAGACACGGUCCAGACUCCUACGGGAGGCAGCAGUGGGGUAAUUUUGGACAAUGGGGGCAACCCUGAUCCAGCCAUUCCGCGUGAGUGAAGAAGGCCUUCGGGUUGUAAAGGACUUUUGUCCGGGAGGAAACCCUGAUCGUUAAUAGCGGUCGGGACUGACAGUACCGGAAGAAUAAGCACCGGCUAACUACGUG
rnacentral:rRNA from 1 species